GUCAGUGAUGAAAGCUUGAAUAGGAAGAGUUUGAUGCGACAACUGAUGAGUUUAUUCAACUACUGAGU
ensembl:snoRNA